UACCCGCGGCCCGAGUGGUGCCCAUUAUUAUUGAGCCUAAAGCGUCCGUAGCUGGCCGGGCAAAUCUCCGGGUAAAUCCGACGGCUCAACCGUCGGAAUUCCGGAGACACUGCUCGGCUUGGGAUCGGGAGAGGGAGAAGGUACUCCCUGGGUAGGGGUAAAAUCCUGUAAUCCGGGGGGGACCACCAGUGGCGAAGGCGUUCUCCUAGAACGAAUCCGACAGUGAGGGACGAAGCCCUAGGGCGCAAACGGG
rnacentral:rRNA from 1 species